UACGAGGGGGAGCGAGCGUUGUUCGGAAUUAUUGGGCGUAAAGGGUGCGUAGGCGGUUUGGUAAGUCUUAUGUGAAAUCUACAGGCUCAACUUGUAGUCUGCAUGAGAAACUGCCGGGCUUGAGUGUGGGAGAGGUGAGUGGAAUUCCUGGUGUAGCGGUGAAAUGCGUAGAUAUCAGGAGGAACACCUGUGGCGAAAGCGGCUCACUGGACCAUAACUGACGCUGAUGCACGAAAGCUAGGGGAGCAAACAGG
rnacentral:rRNA from 1 species